rnacentral:rRNA from 1 species
UUGUUGAGGGUUAUAUUAUUUAAAAUUACUGUGUGGGCCUAAAAUUAGCCAUCACAAAAGUUUGUUAUAAAAUAACAAAGUAUAUUAAAAAUAUUAUUAUAUGUAGCACCACAAAAAUUUAUAAGAACAAUAAUCUAAACUAAAAGAUUUAAUAUGCCUAUGCUAGGAUGAGUAUUAUAAAAUUAUGUAUUAAGUAAAACUAGUACUUCUAAAAAAAUAUUUUUUAUAUAAAUUAAAGAGAAGGAAUUUGGCAAAUAUUGUUUCGCCUGUUUAUCAAAAACAUGGCUCUUUGGAAAGAACACAUAAAGAGUCGAACCUGCCCGGUGAAUUAUUUUAACGGCCGCGGUACCCUGACCGUGCAAAGGUAGCAUAAUCAUUUGCCUUAUAAUUGAAGGCUAGCAUGAAUGGUCUGACGAAAGCAAUACUGUCUCCUCUUUAUUUUUUAGAAAUUAACUUGUAGGUGAAGAGGCCUAUAUUAUAUUGAAG